AUAAUGUUCAACAUUAAUAUUAACAUAAGAAAAAUUGUGAACAACCUUAAUGGCCAAAAAAGCGGUCAAAAAAGAUGCUAUGGCUGUGGCAAAAAGGGCCAUUUGGCCCGUGAUUGCAAAAAGCAGAAGAGGGUUAACCGCCCGAAGAUGCUAAAGGGCAGUGAGGGCCG